GUUUCUGGCCCUGCCAGUGUCUCCGCCGGUUGAAAGCGCGUGUCUGCGUCGGGUUCUGUUGGAGUGCGUUCGGUGCGCCGUGGGUCCGCGCUGCUUCCACCCAACUUCCUGUUAGUUUCUCUCCUGUCACAAUGGCAUGAUCUCGGCUCACUGCGACCUCUGCUUCCUGGGUUCAAGGAUUCUCCUGCCUCAGCCUCCCAAGUAGCUGGGAUUACAGUUUCCAUCAUUAUCUUCUAUGGAGUUCUUCAUUCCCACAUCUGUGGACCUUAAAAUCCUACCGUUGAGUGCCUGCCUUGGAUCAGCAGUCAGUUCGUUACCUUGGUUCUCAGACGAUGCUUGCAACAACGCCAUGCGAUUCGCCCACUCUUGGAGAAAAUAAGAGAAGUAUCCCUGAAGGAUGAAAUAUCCUCGAAUAUGAAAAGGUCUGCUCUCUGAAGACCAACUGUCUCAGUCUGCUUUUUGCUGCUGUAACAGAAUACCACAGACUUGGCAGAGAAGCCUUCAGAGAAGGAUCCUGACUCGGUGGUUUGUGCAGUGACAUUUGGCAGUGUUUUCUCGGCAAGCGAGUCUUUGAGGCUGCCCUCAUGCUGCUCAGUGGGCACACCAAGAACAAGAGCUGGCCAGGGAUGACGGACGCAUCUAGGCCUUCUCGGCCUAAGGGUUACAUUAGUUAUACACUCUGGAGGUGACUUGACCUGUCAUUGUGAACAAUUAUUGCUCUUGGACGACCCAGGACAUAGGCCAGCCAGUACGUACCCCAGUGUGUUGGAGAAUCGCGCUCGGCUUCUUCCUCUGUGCUGAGUCAUGAAAGUUGCCGGAGCAGG
rnacentral:lncRNA from 1 species